GAAGCUGCUCCUCACCUACAAAUCGUCUCCUUGGGGCUGUGGAGUUACCUCUUGGUUGAGCUGUCCCUGUUUUCUCGAGCAGGUACACCAGCCUUUAAACCCAGCUGAACUCCCACGGACUGCUCAGGUUUCCUCUUGCAUGCUCCACUUGCCUGUUCCCUGUGGGGUGCUCGUGGAGCAGAGGGAUGGCAGAGGCUGCUUUGUGCAGGAUGAGCACCACCUAAAGGCUGCUCCGUGGGACACUGCCACCCUGCAUCCUGCCCGUGAGGAUCCUGUGCUUCACCUAACAUUGAACCAGCUCGCUGUGGAGUCGUCUGCAUGGCCACUAAGCCGAGUUACCCAGAAGUUAUUUGAAGUCCCAUUGUCCUGGACCAAGUCAGCUGGGUCAGCAUCACCAAUCACCUGGCACAAGACCCGGUGGGAAAGGCACGAAAGGGUGACCAGAGACCCUGUAAGACCACCAUGGAGAUAAAACAGCAUGUUACUGACAUGACUAUUAACAGUGCCUCUGUUGUUCUUUGGACUCCUUUAGAUGUCUCUCUUAAUAGCUACCCAUGCUGACACCCUAACAGCACACACCCACCAGCUCUCAGAAACUCAGGACUCCUCUUUAUUCCCAUGUGGAAAUGGCAGUGUGUUGAGAGCCAGCUCUAUGGAGCAUAAUUCAAGCAGCUCAUUCACACUGAGCAUGUUUGCCAAUCUUACAGGCUGAGCUGGAAGGGAAUCACCAUCCCUAGAGGUGUUCAAAAAUCCUGCAGAUUUGGCACUUUGGGACAUGGUAUAACAGCCAUGGUGGUGUUAGUUUGAUGGUUGGAAUUGAUCUUAAGUCCUUUCCAACUGAAACAAUUGCAUGAUUUAAUUGAAAUAAGAACCACUGUAAUCAUGUAAUCUGAGUUGCCAAAUAUUUACUCCAUUCUCUCCACCAAACUCCACUGUUAGGAGUUUGAAUUAUGCCUUAUCAACGUUCAGCCUUGUUGAUUCAAAGGCUUUGGUAUUUUCCAGCCAACUAAUUCUUGCAUCUGCCAGCUUGUCUCUUGUAGGUUCAAACUCUGGGUUUAAUGUGAAGUGAUGGCUGUACUUUGUAACUACAUCCAGCUCUGUGUACUGAGGGGUCCCAUGAGGUUGCUUGUAAGAGAACAGGCUGAACCUACACAAAAGUUUCA